rnacentral:rRNA from 1 species
AUACGGAGGAUCCGAGCGUUAUCCGGAUUUACUGGGCGUAAAGGGCGUGUAGGCGGUUUGCUAAGCGGGAGGUGAAAUGCCGGCGCUCAACGUCGGAAGUGCCUCCCGAACUGGUGGACUGGAAUGACUCUGCCGUGGGAGGAAUGUGUAGUGGAGCGGUGAAAUGCUUAGAGAUUACACAGAACACCGAUUGCGAAGGCAUCUCACGAAGGGUUGAUUGACGCUGAGGCACGAAAGCGUGGGGAUCAAACAGGAUUAGAUACCCUGGUAGUCCACGCAGUAAACGAUGAUGGCUGACCGCUGGUUUAUUCGGAUCAGUGGCCAAGCGAAAGCGAUAAGCCAUCCACCUGGGGAGUACGACCGCAAGGUUGAAACUCAAAUGAAUUGGCGGGG